rnacentral:rRNA from 1 species
GCAGCAACGCCGCGUGCGGGAUGACGGCCUUCGGGUUGUAAACCGCUUUUAGUAGGGAAGAAGGGCUUCGGCUUGACGGUACCUGCAGAAAAAGGACCGGCUAACUACGUGCCAGCAGCCGCGGUAAGUACGUAGGGUCCGAGCGUUGUCCGGAAUUAUUGGCGUAAAGAGCUCGUAGGCGGUUUGUCGCGUCUGCUGUGAAAACUAGAGGCUCAACCUCUAGCCUGCAAUGGGUACGGGCAGACUUGAGUGGUGUAGGGGAGACUGGAAUUCCUGGUGUAGCGGUGGAAUGCGCAGAUAUCAGGAGGAACACCGAUGGCGAAGGCAGGUCUCUGGGCACUUACUGACGCUGAGGAGCGAAAGCGUGGGGAGCGAACAGGAUUAGAUACCCUGGUAGUCCACGCCGUAAACGUUGGGCGCUAGAUGUGGGGACCUUUCCACGGUUUCCGUGUCGUAGCUAACGCAUUAAGCGCCCCGCCUGGGGAGUACGGCCGCAAGGCUAA